UUUAUUGCCUGAUAGAUGAGCUCGCGUCUGAUUAGCUAGUUGGUGUGGUAAGAGCGCACCAAGGCUGACGAUCAGUAGCUGGUCUGGAGAGGAUGAUCAGCCACACUGGGACUGAGACAUCGGCCCAGACUCCUACGGAGGAGGCAGCAGUGGGGAAUUUUCCGCAAUGGGCGAUAAGCCUGACGGAGCAAGAUACCGCGUGAGGGAGGAAGGCUCUUGGGUUGUAAAUCCUCUUUUCUCAGGGAGAAUAAAAAAAUGAAGGUACCUGAGGAAUAAGCAUCGGUCUAACUCCGUGCAGCAGCAGCCGCGGUAAUACGGAGGAUGCAAGCGUUAUCCGGUAAUGAUUGGGAGCGUAAAGCGUCCG
rnacentral:rRNA from 1 species